AUACGUAGGGGGCUAGCGUUGUCCGGAUUUACUGGGCGUAAAGGGAGCGCAGGUGGCUAAGUUCGUCGAUGGUGCAAGCUCCAGGCUUAACUUGGAGAGGUCUGUCGAUACUGCUUGGCUUGAGGACGGUAGAGGAGCACGGAAUUCCUGGUGUAGUGGUGAAAUGCGUAGAUAUCAGGAGGAACACCGGUGGCGAAAGCGGUGCUCUGGGCCGUUUCUGACACUCAGGCUCGAAAGCGUGGGGAGCAAACCGGAUUAGAAACCCUGGUAGUCC
rnacentral:rRNA from 1 species